rnacentral:rRNA from 1 species
UACAGAGGUGGCAAGCGUUGUUCGGAAUUACUGGGCGUAAAGGGCGCGUAGGCGGUCCGAUAAGCCCUGUGUGAAAUCCCUCGGCUCAACUGAGGAACUGCACGGGAGACUGCCGGGCUUGAGUUCGGGAGAGGGAAGCGGAAUUCCGGGUGUAGCGGUGAAAUGCGUAGAUAUCCGGAGGAACACCGGUGGCGAAGGCGGCUUCCUGGACCGACACUGACGCUGAGGCGCGAAAGCUAGGGGAGCAAACGGG